AAACCGGUAAAGGACACAGCCUUCUCCCAAGUCUCUGGAAGUAACCCUGAAGGACAGUUAAUUGAUCUUGGCCGUUAAAUAGAAAAAGGCUACGUAUGGUUUGGUUAUUUAAGAGAUUUUUAAAUAGCCGAGCAGCGAAGUGCAGCCACAGAAUAGAAAGAUUGGUCACGCCAAACCAAAAGAGCUGUACCAGGCUUUUUAAAGGGACAAACAACGAGAAGGCCUCCUCACGGACUACUGGCAUGCCAGACAGGGCAGUAUCUACAAAAUCAGAUCGAGACUGUGCCGCAUAUACUCUAUCCCUUUGGGUCUCCUUCGUGCAGCACGUGGCUGGUCUGGAGCUCGGAGCCGUGCUGGGAUCCCAUAGCCUUGACUCCUGGCCUUAUUAGACAGAUCAAGUUUCCCUACUCUGAAGCAAUGACCGGCUUCUCACUUUUCUUUCACGGUCCUCCACGGUUGCCAGGGUCUGCUGUCUCAGGUCCUCCCAACCUGAUGUCGAACGGUGGCUUUGUAUAGCGUGAGCACCCGUAGGGACUUUUUGUUCUCCUUUGACGGGGUGUCUCUGUUUUUCCAUGGCUGUUCUGGUACUCACUCUGUAGACCAGGCUAGCCUCAGACUCACAGAGCUCGGCCUGUUAAAGUUGCCACGGCCUGGGCUCUCUCCAACAGCCGUCCUGAGCCUCCCCUUUCAGAGCCUCUGUUAACGAUGCUGUGGGUUAUGGCUUUCAAGGACAUCCAGUGUCCUUCCCAAGGGCAAAAGCCUUUGGGAAUCUUGACCGCACACCGGGCAAGAACCAGAUGUGUUCAUGACAGAAUGAAACUCAGUCCUGCACAGCCAUGCACGGUAGGCUUCUCAAAUGAAAGAGAAAAGGCAGUUCGGCAGAUGUCUGGGCCUAUGUCUGAAGUAUACGAGCAACAUUCUAGAAAGGAAUUCGUCAGAGACUUGAUUGAUUGCUUGAUUGACUUCUGCAUGGAUCUGUUAUCCCAAGACUAUACCAAUCCUUGUUCUAACACAGCCACGGUGGCACCCUGCAGGUGGAGGCAGGAAGAUCACAGGUGACAAGUUUCAAGUCAGCGUGGGCUACACAGUAAGUCUGAGGGCCACCCCACUCAGGUCCAUCCCUUAGAGGUGACAACAAAAAGCCCCUCGUUCCAUCCUCACCACAAGGGAGGGAUCUCAGUAUGAUGGCUAAUUUUCCAACCCCCCAACAUCCCAGGAGAAACCAUCUUCAAAAGGAAAUCUUGCUUAAAACCUGACACUUUGGGGGGACCUAGCUUUCGAGACAUGAUAAAGUCUGUGGAGAAAAGUAAGGAUCUCCAACCGUAGGGUUUUAUUUGUAGGAUUGAUGUCACACGAGCAUGUGCUAUACAAGGCUGAAGGUAGGGGAAAAAAAAAAAAGCAAAACCAAACCUGAGACUAAAUAUACCGUACAUAAGCAAGUUGGGAAGAAAGUCAGCCUUGCCUUGGUAAGCUUGUUUUGCACAAUAGCGAACUCUCGGGACCUUCUCAUUUCCACAUUUAGGAGAGGUGAAUGUGUACCAGUGUGCUGGUGCAUUUAAACCUUUCCUCGCACCAGGUUACCACCUUUGAAUAGACCUCCUGCAGAUUUGCUCUCUCAUAGCCUCUAGAGUAGCUUUCCCUUUUUGUUUUCUUUCUAGAAGAAUCUAGAAAAGUGCUUCCAAGAGAGUAGACACGCUAAUGACAUAAUUCAUUUAUGUACGUACAUUUGUAUUGACUGACACAAAUCUGUAGGAGAUCAUCUCUAAACAGUAACUAUGUUAC
ensembl:lincRNA uncharacterized LOC110337868